rfam:Loxodonta africana unplaced genomic scaffold scaffold_12, whole genome shotgun sequence.
CCCUGUGUGGUCCAAACAGUUAACACGCUUGGCUGCUACCCAAAAGGUUGGAGGUUCGAGUCCACCCAGAGGCA